rnacentral:sRNA from 12 species
CCUUUGGAGAGCUACGCCAAACUAGAGUAGGUUUAUGCCAAAAUAGAGUUCGACGAAGAAGGAA